AGAGUUUGAUCCUGGCUCAGGAUGAACGCUGGCGGCGUGCUUAACACAUGCAAGUCGAACGAAGCACUUUAUUUGAUUUCCUUCGGGACUGAUUAUUUUGUGACUGAGUGGCGGACGGGUGAGUAACGCGUGGGUAACCUGCCUUGUACAGGGGGAUAACAGUUGGAAACGGCUGCUAAUACCGCAUAAGCGCACAGCAUCGCAUGAUGCAGUGUGAAAAACUCCGGUGGUAUAAGAUGGACCCGCGUUGGAUUAGCUAGUUGGUGAGGUAACGGCCCACCAAGGCGACGAUCCAUAGCCGACCUGAGAGGGUGACCGGCCACAUUGGGACUGAGACACGGCCCAAACUCCUACGGGAGGCAGCAGUGGGGAAUAUUGCACAAUGGGGGAAACCCUGAUGCAGCGACGCCGCGUGGAGGAAGAAGGUCUUCGGAUUGUAAACUCCUGUUGUUGAGGAAGAUAAUGACGGUACUCAACAAGGAAGUGACGGCUAACUACGUGCCAGCAGCCGCGGUAAAACGUAGGUCACAAGCGUUGUCCGGAAUUACUGGGUGUAAAGGGAGCGCAGGCGGGAAGACAAGUUGGAAGUGAAAUCCAUGGGCUCAACCCAUGAACUGCUUUCAAAACUGUUUUUCUUGAGUAGUGCAGAGGUAGGCGGAAUUCCCGGUGUAGCGGUGGAAUGCGUAGAUAUCGGGAGGAACACCAGUGGCGAAGGCGGCCUACUGGGCACCAACUGACGCUGAGGCUCGAAAGUGUGGGUAGCAAACAGGAUUAGAUACCCUGGUAGUCCACACCGUAAACGAUGAUUACUAGGUGUUGGAGGAUUGACCCCUUCAGUGCCGCAGUUAACACAAUAAGUAAUCCACCUGGGGAGUACGACCGCAAGGUUGAAACUCAAAGGAAUUGACGGGGGCCCGCACAAGCAGUGGAGUAU
rnacentral:rRNA from 1 species